UAGGGAACCUUCGGCAAAGGACGAAAGUCUGACCGAGCAACGCCGCGUGAGUGAAGAAGGUUUUCGGAUCGUAAAACUCUGUUGGUAGAGAAGAACGUUGGUGAGAGUGGAAAGCUCAUCAAGUGACGGUAACUACCCAGAAAGGGACGGCUAACUACGUGCCAG
rnacentral:rRNA from 1 species